ACCUCCUGCCGAGGGGUAGUUGGGAUGAGUACCGCGUGUGCAAGUAGCAUUUAGCAGAGCAUAGCAAGCCAAGCCAAAAGUAUGUUUCACGCGAAAAAGGAGAAAAAAGUGAUGUUUGAAAUGAGAAGUUUUUUUAUGAAAAAGAAAAGCACGAUGGAAUUUAGAAAAUCUGGGACGCACUGUGUGAUUUGGCAAACUUUUUCAUCUGCCAGAAUCCUUCCCAGAAGCGGUGAAGCUACAUCCUUUGUCCUUGCACACAAACGUUAGGCAUACCUGUGUCUGUGUAUUCGCUUAUGACCACCUUGGGACCCUUACCCAUACAUGCACACACAAACAUGCGAAGUGCUUGCCCUACGGACACAGGAGGGUUCAUAAAACAAACGCGUGUACCCUUUGGGAGGCAUCAGUGUUGUGAGCGCGAGAUGAAAACUCGAGAUAGAGAGAGAAAGAGAGAAUCUUUCCAGCAGCGCCUACCACACACAGCCCAGCAUCACCGUAAAAGGAAGGCUGCCCUUAUCAACACACCACUUCCUUGCUGAUCCGCCAUGUAUGCGUGCCUGCCAGCGUCUGCGUGCGUGUCUGUGUGUGUUUGUGUGCAUAUGCGUCGCGUUGUAAACUGGUGCGUUUUGCUUCAACUGUAUUUAACCCAGUGAAGUGGGGGCGCGCGCAAACAGAGCGGCACACACCACGGCGGAAUAUGGAAUUGGAUACCGUUGCUAACUAUUUUUUUUAUCACCACACUAUCACACAUCGAGCGCAGCACAAACAACACCAACAACAACACACACCACAGCGCGGGGGAUGAAUAGUGGAAAAAAGAAUCUUUGUGACAGGCGGCGGGUGCGCUUCCCUCCCAAACACAACAGCAGUAGUAGUAGGCAUUGGAUAGCACUGUUCGAUUAAACUAAUUUAUUCUCCUCAACUAAAGCGGCAAUCUGCAUUUGAAACAGUGUCUAUAAUAUUUUCGGAAGUUGUAUUGAAUUGUUUUUA